GACGAACGCUGGCGGCGUGCUUAACACAUGCAAGUCGAACGGAAAGGCCUGCUUUCCCUUGUGGAUUGCUGGUACUCGAGUGGCGAACGGGUGAGUAACACGUGAGUGAUCUGCCCCCAACUUGGGUAUAAGCCUGGGAAACUGGGUCUAAUUACCUAUAGGACUGCAGGGUGGUGCCUGUGGUGGAAGACGAUUUUCUAGUGGUUGGGGAUGAGCUCGCGGCCUAUCAGCUUGUUGGUGGGGCAAUGGCCUACCAAGGCGGGGACGGGUAGCCGGCCUGGGAGCGUGGACAGUGACAUUGGGACUGGGAUCCGACCCAGACUGCUACGAGAGGCAGCAGUGGGGACUCUAGGAGAGUGGGCGGAAGCCUGAUGCAGCGACGCAGCGUGGGGGAUGUCGGCAUUCGGAUUGUAAACUCCUUUCGACCGAGAGGAAGCCAACUGGUUGGAAGGGUCGUGACGGUAGUGGUAGAAGAAGCACCGGCUAACUACGUG
rnacentral:rRNA from 1 species